rnacentral:rRNA from 1 species
AGUGAACGCUGGCGGUAGGCCUAACACAUGCAAGUCGAACGGCAGCACAGUAAGAGCUUGCUCUUACGGGUGGCGAGUGGCGGACGGGUGAGGAAUACGUCGGAAUCUACUUUUUCGUGGGGGAUAACGUAGGGAAACUUACGCUAAUACCGCAUACGACCUACGGGUGAAAGCAGGGGAUCUUCGGACCUUGCGCGAUUGAAUGAGCCGAUGUCGGAUAGCUAGUUGGCGGGGUAAAGGCCCACCAAGGCGACGAUCCGUAGCUGGUCUGAGAGGAUGAUCAGCCACACUGGAACUGAGACACGGUCCAGACUCCUACGGGAGGCAGCAGUGGGGAAUAUUGGACAAUGGGCGCAAGCCUGAUCCAGCCAUACCGCGUGGGUGAAGAAGGCCUUCGGGUUGUAAAGCCCUUUUGUUGGGAAAGAAAAGCAGCAGGUUAAUACCCCGCUGUUCUGACGGUACCCAAAGAAUAAGCACCGGCUAACUUCGUG